rnacentral:rRNA from 1 species
GACGAACGCUGGCGGCGUGCCUAACACAUGCAAGUCGAACGGGGUCCAUGGGAGCUUGCUCCCGGAAGACCUAGUGGCGAACGGGUGAGUAACACGUGAGAAACCUGCCCUGGAGUGGGGAAUAACUCGGGGAAACUCGAGCUAAUACCGCAUACCCUCGGAUGGUCGCAUGGCCGACCGAGGAAAGAUUUAUCGCUUCAGGAGGGUCUCGCGGCCUAUCAGCUAGUUGGUGGGGUAACGCCUACCAAGGCAACGACGGGUAGCUGGUUUGAGAGAACGAUCAGCCACACUGGGACUGAGACACGGCCCAGACUCCUACGGGAGGCAGCAGUGGGGAAUCUUGCGCAAUGGGCGAAAGCCUGACGCAGCAACGCCGCGUGCGGGAUGACGGCCUUCGUGGUUGU